AGGCAACAGAGAAAUGUGUGGCUGCUAAAUCUUACCUGAGUUUUGCUCACUUUAGUACUGUGUGAUAAUGUUUAGCUUGCCUUAAGCAGUGCAGGUGGUGAAUGACUGACACAUGCUUCCCCUUCAGGGCUUACUGGAGCUUUAUGCCGUUCCUGCUGAGACCAUUCAGUGCUAUAAACCCCUAUAUAAACCUCAACUCGAAAUGUUCUGUAGAUUUAUUAUCUACCUAUCUGUUUGCAGCACUAGGUGGAGCCUCUUACUGUUUAAUGAGAUGGAGUCACAGGUGUGUUGGUUAACUGCCCGUAAGGGCUGCACAAAUUGCAGUCCUCCGUUGGAGGAAGAAAAAAGUUGCAGCAUUGCUCUUCUCACUGUGGCAGUUGUGUUAAUGUAGCAUAAAGUUGUGAUAUUCCACACAGUUGUUGUCUGGUCUGCUGUCCGGUUUAGCUAUUGAGGGCUCAUGCUAAUGCUAAACUAGCAUCUUCAACAGCAGAAGUUAACGCAGGCUGGGAGCUGAGUGUCAGACAGCAAUGCUGUAGCUGUGCUGCUAACGUUUGGGAGAAGUAGGACUCUUAAUUACACAAUGGUCCAACAAAAUCAACACAAAUGUGUUGCAGUUAAGCAGUGGAAGUAAAUAUAGAUUUCCUGGACUGAUAAAGUUGGAGUGACAGUAUUUGUGCGUCCCGCGAGACAUCUGUUCCAGCAGAGAUGUGGUUUCAGCAGCUGGACUAACCUUAGCUAUAGUGAACAACACACAUCACUCCAUCAUGUACAUCAGGCUUGGAUAUACUGGACCUUUGCCAAUGUGACAAGACCGUUUUUGUCAGAGUUGUAUCAGUCAGUGGAGUAAUAUGAUACUUCAUAGUGCAGGUGCAGCCCUUGAGGAGCUGCUGGUUGCCGCUGAGAAGCAGGACUACUGAGAGUUUGAGUUUAUGAAUCUGCUAAAGUCAUGAAUGUUGACUCAGACAGUGUGGCAUUCUGCGUUCUCGCCACCGAUGAAAAGUACGAGUCUGACGUUGCUUUUCAGAUCCACUUCACCCUCAUCCAGGCUUUCUGCUUCAAUAACGACAUCAACGUGGUGUAGGUCAAUGAUAUCGAGCGCCUGGCUGACUUAAUGGGCGCAGACGAGACCGGCGAGUCCAAGGAUGCGCACUACAUUCUUGUCACGGUGUUCUGACUCUAAAUGUCUCUAUAUAUCAGAGACCCAUCACAUGAUGACGAUGAUGAUGAUGAAAACAAAGUCAAGGAGGUGGGCUUCAGUUGGGGAUGUCUAGCCUUUCUGCGUCACUUGUCUGAAGUUCAGAGGUCAAGUGAGGACUGGGUCAUGUGUGUGUGUGUGUGGACUGGUCACAAAGUCUUAUAGACACUCAGAAGGAAUUGGACUGUGCUGCAAAGUACAGUGACUCAGACAAGAGAUGAUUUGUGAAGACCUGGUGACUGGAUUUUUAGAAUGAAAAAAAUGUCCCAUGAAGAUUAUUUUGGAGAGUGCUGGCAAUGGCAUUGGUUUGAAUUCUAUCCAGACAUUGUGUCUUGUGAAAAACAUCCCACUGUUUGACAUUAUUUCUGCAGGAAGCAAAAACUGGAAUUUGUUACUGUUGUUACUUCAAAUAAUGAACAUAGUUUUUUCACCUUCUAUAACUCUAGGUAUGACAAUAUAUUUAAAACAUUUGAUUGUCGACCACCAAAAACUAUUUAAAGGAUGACUCCAUCUGCGUUUUUUUUCCAGGCCCACUCAGCUGUUAGCAAAAAGCAGUGAUGUGGGUUAGAGCACACACACACACACACACUCGCAGUUCGCUGACAGUGUCUUCCUAACAUAUUUGCUCGCUGUAUGUUAGAGCAAGAAAAAAUGUCCAGAUGUACUAUGAGCAAUAUCGCAGUGCUGACUCUGAGUGUGUGAGAUGUUAAAAUGCACUGAUGGAGUGGAGGGACAGAAAACAGCUGAGUGCCAGGAUCUCUGGAUGAAAAAGCUGAGAGCAGAGCUGGAACUUCAGGACGAAUAACUCCCGCGAGUCACACUGGAUUCUGCUCUGAUUUGGAGCCGUUUACUGGCAGGAGGAGAGCUCAGAGUUUGAGCAGCAGCAACAAUGAGUGCUCAGUGCAUCUCUGUGGCUACCGGCUAGGCGGACUAGGGGGUUUAUAUUGGUUUAUAUGUAGCAACGUCAUCAUGCAGAAACCUACGUCAGGUCACGUGGAAAAAAGUUUUUAGAAGGGCUUGGGAAAAUGGCAUUUUGACAGUAAAAUGUACCUACUUCGACCUAAAUUUGAAUUUUUGGAUUUGAUACAUAUGGAACACUACUGGCAAGCUACAAAAUGAUAUAAAAACCUAAUAAAUAAAUUAAUAAAUUAAUAAAUAAAUAAAGGACUUGCCCUUUAAGCACUUGUAUCCACAUAGAAACUUGAUACCUAAGCAUCAUUUUAUGAUUCAUUACCCAUCUUCUAUAAGGAAAGUUUUUCCCUUAUUAUAUAUUCGGUGUAUGCAGUUUGAAGCCAAACACAAGCUGUUUAAAGAUUCUUUUAAAAAUUUCAAAAACAUAACGUGGUCCACAAUGAAAUGCUUGAAAUGAUCUUGUCAGAAAAUUUUUUCUCAACUAGUGUGGUUACAGUUGAUGGUGUAUAAAGCUGGACUUGUUAUUUGCGGUGCAAUGAAAGAAGACAUGCCUGCAUUUUGUCAAAUAUCACCCAAUUUAACUGUUAUCAGCCUAUUGAAUAGGCGUUAAUUUCACACAUCUGUCCCACAUAUAUGGGCUAGCAGGGGCCUACUAAACCUACUAGUAGGUUCAGGAGGCUGUUACCCAGUCAUUUCAGUGAGCCAAUGUUGGUGGAGCCCAGUAGGCGAAGAAGGCCUGUUAUCAGAUGUGCUGUCACGUGACUGUCAAGUUUCUUUCUGCGAAAACAAACAAUAUGGCUGACAUUCC